rnacentral:lncRNA from 1 species
AUAAAUGAGAAUGAAAUUGUAAGGGUUAGAAUGAAAAUAAGUGGUGAAUGUUGUAUAUUUGGAUGCUUAAUGAUGUGUGUAAUGGAAUAAGACAUAAUUGAAUUCAAUGAAAUAAAAAUAAAACGAGUUUAAAAUCUAUGCACCGACAGUGUAAAAGUCAGCACAUCAUCUACCAUUGAUUGUAAUACUUUUGUUUGAAAGUCAAUGAUAGUUAACAUAUGAAUGAUGAAGAUUCGCUGACAGUGUAAAAAUACUUAUACUAUCAAUGCAUACAUAUUAAACACAAAUAAAAUUAUCAUUAUCAUUUUUUUUUGGACAUUUUAUAAUCAAUAUGUACAUACACCUAACUUCUUUUUCUGGAUAAGAAAUGAGCUAAAUGCAAUUUUUUAGAGUAAAGAUCUAUUUUGAUAUACCAAUUUGGUACUAAAAAUUUGAAAAAACUCAAAAUUGGUCCCCAACUACAUCAAAUAUAGGUAAAAGGUCAAAUUAGUCUUUUUAACAUUUUUAUCUACCGUAACGAUUAUUUUGACUCACCUUUACAAUAUUUGGUACUAGUUUGAGUUUUUACUUUUUCUGAGAUCAAAUCGGUAGAUUGAGAAAUACAAUGAGUCCGAGCAUAGAAGUAUAUAUAUCUAACCUAAACUGCUAAUGUAGUUUUUUGUUGUUAUAAUGGAAUGAAGUUAAAACUAAGUUGAUUUCAUCUUAUUUCAUCCCCACCCCAUGCAUAAAAGUUUGGAAAAUAACAAAAAUAAGAUACCG